ensembl:misc_RNA Metazoa_SRP Metazoan signal recognition particle RNA
GCUGGGUGUGGUGGUGCACACCUAUAAUUCCAGCUACUUGGAGGCUGAGGCAGAAGAAUUGCUUGAACCCAGGAGAUGGAGGUUGCAGUGAGCCGAGAUGGCACCACUGCACUCCAGCCUGGGUGACAGAGCAAGACCCUGUCUCAA